ensembl:lncRNA
GCCGCCGACUGCGGAGGUGUUCCGUGUCCCCGAGCUGGAGCCGACUACGGAGGUGUUCCGUGUCCCCGAGCUGGAGCCGACUACGGAGGUGUUCCCUGUCCCCGAGCUGGAGCCGACGACGGAGGUGUUCCCUGUCCCCGAGCUGGAGCCGACGACGGAGGUGUUCCCUGUCCCCGAGCCGACGGCGACAACCGCGGAGGUGUUCCGUGUCCCCGAGCCGACGGCGACAACCGCGGAGGUGUUCAGUGUCCCCGAGCCGACGGCGACAACCGCGGAGGUGUUCAGUGUCCCCGAGCUGCCGCCGCCGACCCCGGAGGUUUCCCGUGUCCCCGAGCCUGCCAUUCUAGAGACGUUCUGUGCCCUGCAGUCGCCGCUCCGGAGCCGGCUUGGUGACCGCCCGCCGGGCCGACCCCCAGAGGCUCCCCGCUCGUCUGGCCACCCGCCGGGCCGCCCGCCAGAGUUUCCCGGGUGGUCCGACCAACGUCUCUGGUUUCCCUGCCCCCCCACCCCUUGUUUUGCUCUAGUGUGAGCCACCUGGAAGUCGGUCCUUGAGGGGGGGGUACUGUCACGGUGUGGUUUCACUUCCUGUUGUAUUUUGUAGUUUUCUGCCACUCGUGUCCCCGGGUAACUUCACUUCCUGCCUUGUCCCGUCAUCCCCUGUGAUCGUCUAAUAGUUUCCACCUGUGUCCAAUCACCUGCACCUCCCUUGUGUAUUUAAGCCAUGUAUCUCCUGUGUCACUUGUCGCGUCAUUGUCUUUAGCCACGCAUGUCCUUGUCUUUUGUCACACAUGUUGCCUGCUGCUUUUCCUCCCGGUUCCUGUGUUUUUGACCAUUGACUAUUAAAGUCCUUUGUGUUCCUUUUGAAGUCUGCGUUCUGAGUCCUGCCUCCCACCCGC